AUGGCCGAGGCAGAGCCGCCCGCCCGAAGCGCAGCGCCGAGGCAGGGGGAGCACAAAGCUCGUCGGGGCGCCGGCCUCGGCGGGGACCCUCGGCCCCAGCCGCCGCCGAGAGCGGGGGCAGAGGCCCGCGGGGGCGCCGAGGGGGUGCGGCGGGGAGCGGCGCCGGGGCAGCCGGCUCGCAGGGCGGCGGGGAAGGGAGGAGGGGGCCGCGCCGCGGGGCGGAGGAGGAGGAGGAGGAGGGGAGGGGAAGGCGGCGGCGGCGGCGGGGCGGGGAGGGGAGUGCGCAGGCGCGGCAGCACUGCGCAGGCGCGGCGGCGGCGGGGCGGCACGGCAGCCCGCGCUGCCAUAAAAAGGCCGGGCGCGGCUGGGCGGUGUAUCCUGCCCGCCCGCAGCCACAGCGGCAGCAGCAGCGGCACAGCAGCGGACGGGCGAUGGGGACGGCGCUGGCGGCGCGGCUCGGCCUGGGGCUCCUGCUCCUGGCGCUCCUCCUACCCACGCAGAUUUACUGUGACCCCAAUGGAACAAGUCCAACACCUUCAAACAAUUCUUCAGCAAGUUCACCUUCUCUGUCAGUCAUAAAUUCACUGAACAAUACCAUCCUUCAGGGACAUGGAAAUUCCCUUCAUUCAACCACAACUCUCCUUUUCGUUCUCUCCAUUUCUCUCCUGUAUCUUUGCUGUUAAGAGACUCUGGCAGGGAAACAGCUACCACUCCCCACCCAGUUUCCUGAACCAUGUGAGAUGGCUAGAUCUUCAACCCAGCAUGAAAAUGAGUCAGUGCAAACUCCGCAUCGAAUCCUCUUGGUUCCACUCCAUACUCUGUUAGUACCAGUCCAGCCUCGAGAAGCACUCAGUAUUCUGACUUUCCAAAGCUGACCAGUGAGAAAAGGAUUUGAACAACUUCAGCAAGGAG
rnacentral:lncRNA from 1 species